AGAGUUUGAUCAUGGCUCAGAACGAACGCUGGCGGCAGGCUUAACACAUGCAAGUCGAACGCCCCGCAAGGGGAGUGGCAGACGGGUGAGUAACGCGUGGGAAUCUACCCAGUUCUACGGAAUAACACAGGGAAACUUGUGCUAAUACCGUAUACGCCCUACGGGGGAAAGAUUUAUCGGGAUUGGAUGAGCCCGCGUUGGAUUAGCUAGUUGGUGGGGUAAUGGCCUACCAAGGCGACGAUCCAUAGCUGGUCUGAGAGGAUGAUCAGCCACACUGGGACUGAGACACGGCCCAGACUCCUACGGGAGGCAGCAGUGGGGAAUAUUGGACAAUGGGCGCAAGCCUGAUCCAGCCAUGCCGCGUGAGUGAUGAAGGCCUUAGGGUUGUAAAGCUCUUUCAGUGGGGAAGAUAAUGACGGUACCCACAGAAGAAGCCCCGGCUAACUUCGUGCCAGCAGCCGCGGUAAUACGAAGGGGGCUAGCGUUGUUCGGAUUUACUGGGCGUAAAGCGCACGUAGGCGGAUCGUUAAGUCGGGGGUGAAAUCCUGGAGCUCAACUCCAGAACUGCCUUCGAUACUGGCGAUCUUGAGUCCGGAAGAGGUGAGUGGAACUCCUAGUGUAGAGGUGGAAUUCGUAGAUAUUAGGAAGAACACCAGUGGCGAAGGCGGCUCACUGGUCCGGUACUGACGCUGAGGUGCGAAAGCGUGGGGAGCAAACAGGAUUAGAUACCCUAGUAGUCC
rnacentral:rRNA from 1 species